CUGAAAAUAAUCCUGUCUGUUUGUUGGUAGCUGUUUUGUUCCAGACCUUAUCCCUAUCUCAAAGACUUUAGGGAGGGGAUGUAUAACUUGGGUUAAGAUUUGACCGUGAACAAUAGAAAAACAUCAUUUGCUUAGAAGGAACAGAUGUUCAUUUCUCUUGCACUCUAGGAUUGGUGUGGCAGAACUGUUUCACAGAGUGCUCAAGGCGAAAGGAAGGAAGGAAGGAAGGAAGGAAGGAAGGAGGAAGGAAGGAAGAAAGAAAGAAGAAAAAAAGAAAAAAGAGCUGUAAUUGGCCUACAUUUUCAAGGUGACCUCAUAAUCCAAGAUGAUGUGCUCCAACUCCAACUAUCAUAUCUGCAUUUAAACCACCCAGAGGGUGAAGGGACAAAGAAAUAAGGCUAAAAAAAAAAAUAGGCACCAGCUAUCCUUUAAGGACUCUCUACUUAUGUUCCCCUGGCAUUUCCUCUGUCCUUGCUAUUUUUGAAUGCACUUUUAACAUCCAAGAGUAAAUCUCUGUUAUCUCUCUAAAUACUUU
rnacentral:lncRNA from 1 species